AUUGAACGCUGGCGGCAUGCUUUACACAUGCAAGUCGGACGAGUGGCGGACGGGUGAGUAACGCAUCGGAAAGUACCGGGUAGUGGGGGAUAACUGUUGGAAAGGACAGCUAAUACCGCAUAUUAUCCGAUCGGCCGAGGUCGGAUUAGCUGGUUGGGGGGGUAAAGGCCCACCAAGGCGACGAUCAGUAGCGGGUCUGAGAGGAUGAUCAGCCACACUGGGACUGAGACACGGCCCAGACUCCUACGGGAGGCAGCAGUGGGGAAUUUUGGACAAUGGGCGCAAGCCUGAUCCAGCCAUGCCGCGUGUCUGAAGAAGGCCUUCGGGUUGUAAAGGACUUUUGUCAGGGAAGCGGUACCUGAAGAAUAAGCACCGGCUAACUACGUGCCAGCCGCCGCGGUAAUUC
rnacentral:rRNA from 1 species